UGGUCCAUGGUGUAAUGGUAGCACACUUGCCUUUGACGCGGGUAGUCCUGGUUCGAGUCCAGGUGGAUCAU
rnacentral:tRNA from 1 species